UUAUUUAGGGGUGCACUAGUGAUUUUGAAAGGGAAACGAUUGAAGUCAGUCGUACUGACGGGGAAUCAACCUUUCGAACGUGAUAACGUGGGGUUCAAAGAGAUUUUGUUCUCCCGGCAUUCGCGUUUUUUUGGUGCACUUUCUCGUGUUUUGUAGGUUAGCAUCGGUUUUGACCGUUAUAAAAUGAUCGGAGGGAUGUAGCUUCGAUUUCGAUUGAAGUGUUAUAACCUUUGGUAAAUGUAACUGUUAGGACCGAGGAUUGCAACGGAUACCCUAAUGGGCUAUUCGUCUGACCUCUGAUACGUCACUUUGGCGUCGAAAGCUUGCUUACGAUGUUAAAGGCGUCGGUCAAAAGGUUAGAACGGAUUAAAUUCGUUAAGGAUGUUGACGUA
rnacentral:rRNA from 1 species